UAUGUGAUAGUCAGUCAACAAACCAGCAAAAUCAAAGUGAAGCACCUUUCAUGUUGAUGGAAUUAUGUUCAAAGGUGAAAGACUGCGACUUUGACCAAAAUUUUUCAACGCGCUUGCAUUUCACUCAUUUUCCUUCCAAAUCGCAACAAACAACAUAGCACUCCAUAGCUAGAACCUAGAACUCUUUUUUUAAAUAUUUAAAACUGCAGUUAUUUAUUCACUAAUUUACACACAUCAGCAAAUAAAAGUUGAAUUAACUUUUUUUGAAACACCCUGUAUCAAGAACUUAGAUCCCCAGACCGUGGGGGUUCCCCUUUGGAUAAAUCAACUUAAACUUAUAUUUUAUUAAAUACGUGUAUAAUUUACGGAAAAUAAGAAUCAAAGGAAGAUAUCAGAAUUCAGCCCUUUAAUAACACCAUGACAACUUGUAGCGUAUAGCAAGUCGACCAGUGCUAUGAAAAUAAAUAUUUUAUUGUUCAAUUACUUUUUCGUUACUCACUACACUACAUAUGAGAUGACAACAGUAAAUAUGGGCCAGACACACAUAAUUAGAGUAAAAUCUCCAUUUUUCUUGUCUACAUCACUACCUAAAACAUACAUAAAGAUAAAUUACAUUGUCAGGUGGUCACCAAUGCCAGAUCUAUCAAAACGCUUGUCAGCAAAGGAUUUUUAUUGUGUUUAGUCUUUACAGAAAGGAAUGGAUUUGUGGCUCCAUUUCAAGGAACAAGAUGCUUUGCAAAGGUUUAAAUGGAGUGUUUGUUUGGUUCUUUUUGUUGUUUAAUAAGAAAAAUCUUAACAUGUACAUUAU